AAUCUCUCUACUAAUUUCUUGAAAGAUCUCAUUUUUUAAAAAAAAAAAAUUAACGUGCCAGAAUCGUGAUCUUACUAUACUCAACGUCGGUGCAGAUCAUGAGGGACAUUGACACAUGACAUAAGGCUGGAGAGGAAACAUGGAACUAAGAUUCCCCUUAAUCCGAAACUGAUCCUCUUUAAGCCUCGUCAUUUUUUCGUCAGUUAGAAAAGACUCUCAGUCCCCUUGCUUGACCUAUACAGAGAGAGAGAGAGAGAGAGAGAGAGAGAGAGUGGCUUUCGGCAUCAGAAACGAGGGAGGAAAAGAGGUUAAAAGGGGUGAGAAAGGCAAUAAAAGGCUGAUUGAGGGGAAAGGAGGUAUAGGGGUUUCAUCUAGGAACGAUGGGGAGGGGGAGGAGAAGGCGGAAGCUGAAUAGUAAUAUGAUCCUUCUUUAUAUAUGUGUGUGUGUGUGUGAAUUAACACUCCAAUCUGGUGAUUAUUUAUCCAUCUUUCGAGUCCAAAACCCCCGCUCCUUCACUUGCCUUCUCAAUUAUUAAUUAAUUACGCCCACACUCUCUCUCACUGUGCUCGCCCCCAUCGCAUCUUAAAUAGAACCCCUCUGCCCCCAUCUCCUACUCCCAUGUAGUUAUUGCUCUCUUUCUCCGUUUCCGUGUGUCUCUGUACGAGUUCAUGUGCAUAUCAAUGUGCGCGGAUCUUCAAUGGUGAAUACAAGGGCAGUGCGUUCAUGUGGAUUUAACAAAGGCUUUCUAACAGAGUUUAUUGGCAUUCUGUCCACCUCCCUUCAAUAGAAAACCUCGUCCUCUCUCUCUCUCUGGAGGUGGGCAUACUGCCAACUGAGCUCUGUUGGCUUCUCUUUGUAAGAUCCUCGUGAUAUAUCUCCUCCAUCUGUUCUCUCAUGUACACGAUUGACAUCAAGGUUUUUAUUUUCUGCUUAAAUAAUCUUUGUAUGGGCACAAAAAUCAUCCAUGAACUCUCUGGUUUCUGUUUGAUCAUAUGCAGAUCUUGUGUGGCUGCAUCACUUUGGGAACCCUUAUUUAAUGUUCUAUUUUCUGGGAUCGAUGUGUGUGUUUUUAUCUCUCUCGUUUCUUUCUUGUACUGCGACCUAGGGCUUGUUUUGGGCAUGUUCUCUUUCAUUCUGAUUCAGGAAGGUUCAAGAUCAAAAAGCUUUCGAUGAAUGAAGGUCUCCCAGUACAUUUUACACAGAAAAAGUUAAAAAGCAAAGAUAUUGAAAAAGCGAGGGUAUAGUGGAAAUUAGUGGAAACCGGAAGAAAGAUCACAUUAUUCUGUCAGAGCUCAUGAGACCGAAAUGAUGUCUCCAUUGAGGGAUUAAUUGGAACUUGUUUUUGCAAUGAUCUCCCAUGUUUGUUGUCUUAUAUGUAUAAUCAAGGUGAUUAUGAGAUCACAAUAAAAAGAUCAGGGUCUUGAGAUUUCA